GUCGAGCGAAUGGAUUAAGAGCUUGCUCUUAUGAAGUUAGCGGCGGACGGGUGAGUAACACGUGGGUAACCUGCCCAUAAGACUGGGAUAACUCCGGGAAACCGGGGCUAAUACCGGAUAACAUUUUGAACUGCAUGGUUCGAAAUUGAAAGGCGGCUUCGGCUGUCACUUAUGGAUGGACCCGCGUCGCAUUAGCUAGUUGGUGAGGUAACGGCUCACCAAGGCAACGAUGCGUAGCCGACCUGAGAGGGUGAUCGGCCACACUGGGACUGAGACACGGCCCAGACUCCUACGGGAGGCAGCAGUAGGGAAUCUUCCGCAAUGGACGAAAGUCUGACGGAGCAACGCCGCGUGAGUGAUGAAGGCUUUCGGGUCGUAAAACUCUGUUGUUAGGGAAGAACAAGUGCUAGUUGAAUAAGCUGGCACCUUGACGGUACCUAACCAGAAAGCCACGGCUAACUACGUGCCAGCAGCCGCGGUAAUACGUAGGUGGCAAGCGUUAUCCGGAAUUAUUGGGCGUAAAGCGCGCGCAGGUGGUUUCUUAAGUCUGAUGUGAAAGCCCACGGCUCAACCGUGGAGGGUCAUUGGAAA
rnacentral:rRNA from 1 species